GACAGAGGGUGCAAACGUUGCUCGGAAUUACUGGGCGUAAAGCGCGUGUAGGCGGACCACCAAGUCGGACGUGAAAGCCCUGAGCUCAACUCAGGAACUGCAUCCGAAACUGGCGGUCUGGAGUAGUGGAGAGGAAAGCAGAAUUCCUGGUGUAGAGGUGAAAUUCGUAGAUAUCAGGAGGAACACCGGUGGCGAAGGCGGCUUUCUGGGACGACUUACUGACGCUGGAGACGCGAAAGCGUGGGGAGCAAAACAGG
rnacentral:rRNA from 1 species